GCCUGGGUGGCUCAGUCGGUUGAGCAUCUGACUUUGGCUCAGGUCAUGAUCUCGUGGUCUGUGAGUUUGAGCCCCGCGUCGGGCU
rnacentral:tRNA from 1 species